rnacentral:rRNA from 1 species
UACGAAGGGGGCAAGCGUUGUUCGGAUUUAUUGGGCGUAAAGGGCGUCUAGGUGGUUAAUUAAGUCGGAUGUGAAACCCUUCAGCUCAACUGAGGAACUGCAUCCGAUACUGAUUAGCUUGAGUAUAGGAGAAGGGAGUGGAAUUCUCAGUGUAGCGGUGAAAUGCGUAGAUAUUGAGAAGAACACCGGUGGCGAAGGCGGCUCUCUAGCCUAAAACUGACACUAAAGCGCGAAAGCCAGGGGAGCGAACGGGAUUAGAUACCCCGGUAGUCCUGGCCGUAAACUAUGGGUACUUGGUGUAGGAGGUAUCGACCCCUUCUGUGCCGGAGUUAACACGUUAAGUACCCCGCCUGGGGAGUACGGCCGCAAGGUUGAA